AUUGAACGCUGGCGGCAUGCCUUACACAUGCAAGUCGAACGGUAACGGGCCUUCGGGUGCCGACGAGUGGCGAACGGGUGAGUAAUGCAUCGGAACGUACCUUUCAGUGGGGGAUAACGUAGCGAAAGUUACGCUAAUACCGCAUAUUCUGUGAGCAGGAAAGCAGGGGAUCGCAAGACCUUGCGCUGAUUGAGCGGCCGAUGUCAGAUUAGCUAGUUGGUGAGGUAAAGGCUCACCAAGGCGACGAUCUGUAGCGGGUCUGAGAGGAUGAUCCGCCACACUGGAACUGAGACACGGUCCAGACUCCUACGGGAGGCAGCAGUGGGGAAUUUUGGACAAUGGGGGCAACCCUGAUCCAGCCAUGCCGCGUGAGUGAAGAAGGCCUUCGGGUUGUAAAGCUCUUUCGGCCGGGAAGAAAUCGCAUGGGCUAAUACCCUGUGCGGAUGACGGUACCGGCAUAAGAAGCACCGGCUAACUACGUG
rnacentral:rRNA from 1 species